GAUGGAGAGAAAAUACUGUUUUACGCCUCGCUUAGUCCCAAGUAUUCCUCGUCAGUUUUGUUACUUGUAUACUUAUCCAAUGGCAAUUAACGCGCUGCACAUUCGAGGACACCACACGUCACUAAGAGCCGCUCCGUCAACUCUACCUUGAGUCAACACAGUCUACCACGGAGACAGUGAAGAAUGACUUAACCAUCCAGCAACUAUACCGACGCCGUUUUCACACUAACCAUAAAGGGCGACCUGGAAAAGCCGUUACCCCGAGAUGUAAGGCUGAGCAACCGUAAUAAAUAUAUGUUAUGCUGUUAUUCAAUUCA